rnacentral:rRNA from 1 species
CCUACGGGAGACAGCAGUGAGGAAUAUUGGUCACUGGGCGCGAGCCUGAACCAGCCAAGUAGCGUGAAGGAUGACUGCCCUACGGGUUGUAAACUUCUUUUAUAAAGGAAUAAAGUGAGGCACGUGUGCCUUUUUUUCUGUACUUUAUGAAUAAGGCUCGGCUAACUCCGUGCCAGCAGCCGCGUUAAUACGGAGGUUCCGAGCGUUGUCCGGAUUUAUUGGGGUUCAAGGGAGCGUAGAUGGGUUGUUAAGUCAGUUGUGAAAGUUUGCGGCUCAACCGUAAAAUUGCAAUUGAUACUGGCAGCCUUGAGUACAGUUGAGGUAGGCGGAAUUCGUGGUGUAGCGGUGAAAUGCUGAGAUAUCACGAAGAACUCCGAUUGCGAAGGCAGCUUACUAAACUGCCACUGACAUUGAUGCUCGAAAGUGUGGGUAUCAAACAGGAUUAGAUACCCCAGUAGUC